rnacentral:misc_RNA from 1 species
GAUGAAGAACGUAGCGAAAUGCGAUAAGUAAUGUGAAUUGCAGAAUUCAGUGAAUCAUCGAAUCUUUGAACGCACAUUGCGCCCUUUGGUAUUCCGAAGGGCAUGCCUGUUCGAGCGUCAUUACAACCCUCAAGCUCUGCUUGGUAUUGGGCACCGUCCUUUGCGGGCGCGCCUCAAAGACCUCGGCGGUGGCGUCUUGCCUCAAGCGUAGUAGAACAUACAUCUCGCUUCGGAGCGCAGGGCGUCGCCCGCCGGACGAACCUUCUGAACUUUUCUCAAGGUUGACCUCGGAUCAGGUAGGGAUACCCGCUGAACUUAAGCAUAUCAAUAAGCGGAGGC